CCAGUACUCCCUCCGUCCGAAAAUACUUGUCAUUAAAAUGGAUAAAAGGAGAUGUAUCUAGAUGUAUUUUAGUUCUAGAUACAUCCAUUUUUAUCCAUUUUGAUGACAAGUAUUUUCGGACGGAGGGAGUACAUU
rnacentral:pre_miRNA from 1 species